AUUGAACGCUGGCGGCAUGCUUUACACAUGCAAGUCGAACGGUAACAGGUCUUCGGAUGCUGACGAGUGGCGAACGGGUGAGUAAUACAUCGGAACGUGCCUAGUAGUGGGGGAUAACUACUCGAAAGAGUAGCUAAUACCGCAUGAGAUCUACGGAUGAAAGCAGGGGACCUUCGGGCCUUGUGCUACUAGAGCGGCUGAUGGCAGAUUAGGUAGUUGGUGGGGUAAAGGCUUACCAAGCCUGCGAUCUGUAGCUGGUCUGAGAGGACGACCAGCCACACUGGGACUGAGACACGGCCCAGACUCCUACGGGAGGCAGCAGGGGGGAAUUUUGGACAGUGGGCGAAAGCCUGAUCCAGCAAUGCCGCGUGCAGGAUGAAGGCCCUCGGGUUGUAAACUGCUUUUGUACGGAACGAAAAGCCUGGGGCUAAUAUCCCCGGGUCAUGACGGUACCGUAAGAAUAAGCACCGGCUAACUACGUGCCAGCCGCCGCAGUAA
rnacentral:rRNA from 1 species